GAUGAACGCUGGCGGCGUGCUUAACACAUGCAAGUCGAACGGUAAAGCCCUGCUUGCUCUGUGUAUCCGUGUCGCAAGCGUGUGUAUCACAUGAGCAUCACCCGCCUUUCUCUGUGGUAUGCCCUCGGAACGCCGUCUCUUACUCGAUAUGGGCUCCGCCCGCACAGUGUGGGGGUGGAAAAGUUUGUCGGUCGGGGAUGGGCUCGCGGCCUAUCAGCUUGUUGGUGGGGUAAUGGCUCACCAAGGCGUCGACGGGUAGCCGGCCUGAGAGGGUGACCGGCCACAUUGGGACUGAGAUACGGCCCAGACUCCUACGGGAGGCAGCAGUGGGGAAUAUUGCACAAUGGGCGGAAGCCUGAUGCAGCAACGCCGCGUGAGGGAUGACGGCCUUCGGGUUGUAAACCGCUUUUAGCAGGGAAGAAGCGAAAGUGACGGUACUGGGAGAAGAAGCGCCGGCUAACUACGUG
rnacentral:rRNA from 1 species